UACGUAGGGGGCAAGCGUUGUCCGGAAUCAUUGGGCGUAAAGAGCGUGUAGGCGGCCCGGUAAGUCCGCUGUGAAAGUCCAGGGCUCAACCCUGGGAUGCCGGUGGAUACUGUCAGGCUAGAGUCCGGAAGAGGCAAGUGGAAUUCCUGGUGUAGCGGUGGAAUGCGCAGAUAUCAGGAGGAACACCAAUAGCGAAGGCAGCUUGCUGGGACGGUACUGACGCUAAGGCGCGAAAGCGUGGGGAGCGAACAGG
rnacentral:rRNA from 1 species